CAUUGUUGUCAGAGGAAAUGCUUGAUAUUAUUCCAAUUUUUUGGAAUGUUUUAAGACUAGUUUUAUAACCUAACAUAUGGUCUAUCCUUGAGAAUAAUUCAUGUGCUGAGGAAAAGAAUGUGUAUUCUGCGCCUUUGUACCUUUGUUAAGAAUUAGUUGUCUAUAUAUAGAUGUGUGUCUAUUAUUUGUUAAUGGCAAUGAGCUCCGUGUGUAAUAGCUGACACAUUAGCACAGAAAUGCUUCUUUUUUGUCACAAAUGUAUUGUUGAAGCCCAAUUGUUAGCUUUUCUGGUGAUAAGGAACUGUCCAGGAGGACGUAUGGAUGAAUACAGGGAAAUUUGACAAUACAACAGAAGGAAGUACCUCAUAUAACAUUAGGGAUUAAAAUUGAACAUGAGAUUUGGGUGGGAACACAGAAUAUUUUGUAUCAAGAAAUAACUAUAUUCCAUAUUAGCUUAUAACAGAUUCUGUGUAGAUACAGAAUCAAAGUGUCUGGGUUUUGUUUUUAUGUAUAAAUGUUUUGGCAGCCCUUCAAUGUGGGCUUUUCAUUUUCUACACCAAAGCUAAGGAGACAGUGAAUUCUUUACUGUAUAAAAUUAUGCUUUUGGAAACUAUACUUUUCAGCUUCUCCUUCAUCCAUUAGUUAGCACUCCCUGAUGGCUUGGGGUGUGGUGAUUAAUAUAUUAUUGAAUUAGGCAUCAAUCCAGGAAGCAAUGGAAUGUGUGAACUGAAUGAGACUGUACAAUUAUCUGGUUCAGUUUUUUGAAUUAUAAAAUAGAUGUGAAAAUACGUGGCCCAGAAAAAUUAAAUGCCUGACCCAAAUGAAAAAUACUCAGGUAUAAACACUGUCAGUAUAAAUAAUAGAACUCCUAGAUUGUUUUCUUGCAUGUUUCAGUCUAUGCCUUCAGGAUCCUAUUGACAAUAUUUUCAGAGUAUAGGUAUUCUCCAUUAUGAAACUUGGGUAAACUGUUGACUUAGCUUCUACUCGAAUACAUUUGUUU
rnacentral:lncRNA from 1 species